GAAGCCACUGCUAUCGGAGUUCGAUUAAGCCAUGCGAGUCGAGAGGUGCAAGACCUCGGCAUACUGCUCAGUAACACGUGGACAAUCUAACCUAUGGAAGGGGAUAACCCCGGGAAACUGGGGAUAAUACCCUAUAGACUAUGGAUGCUGGAAUGCUUUGUAGUCGAAAGGUCCGCCGCCAUAGGAUGGGUCUGCGGCCGAUUAGGUUAUUGUUGGGGUAACGGCCCAACAAGCCUGUAAUCGGUACGGGUUGUGGGAGCAAGAGCCCGGAGAUGGAUUCUGAGACACGAAUCCAGGCCCUACGGGGCGCAGCAGGCGCGAAAACUUUGCAAUGCGGGAAACCGUGACAGGGGAACUCCGAGUGCCCGUAAAAUCGGGCUGUCCAUCAGUUUAAAUAACUGGUGAAGAAAGGGCCGGGCAAGACCGGUGCCAGCCGCCGCGGUAAUACCGGCGGCUCGAGUGGUGGCCACUAUUACUGGGCUUAAAGCGUUCGUAGCUGGUUUGUUAAGUCUCUGGGGAAAUCUUCCGGCUCAACCGGAAGGCGUCUCAGGGAUACUGGCAGAUUAGGGAUCGGGAGAGGUGAGGGGUACUCCAGGGGUAGGAGUGAAAUCCUGUAAUCCUUGGGGGACCACCUGUGGCGAAGGCGCCUCACCAGAACGGCUCCGACAGUGAGGGACGAAAGCUGGGGGAGCAAACCGGAUUAGAUACCCGGGUAGUCCCAGCUGUAAACGAUGCGCGUUAGGUGUAUCGGUGACCACGAGUUACCGAGGUGCCGAAGAGAAAUCGUGAAACGUGCCGCCUGGGAAGUACGGUCGCAAGGCUGAAACUUAAAGGAAUUGGCGGGGGAGCACCACAACAGGUGGAGCCUGCGGUUU
rnacentral:rRNA from 1 species